rnacentral:misc_RNA from 1 species
GAUGAAGAACGCAGCGAAAUGCGAUACUUGGUGUGAAUUGCAGAAUCCCGUGAACCAUCGAGUCUUUGAACGUAAGUUGCGCCCGAAGCCAUUAGGCCGAGGGCACGCCUGCCUGGGCGUCACACGUCGUUGCCCCCCCAUCUACUCCUUCGGGAUUGCGGGGGGCGGAUGAUGGCCUCCCGUGCGCCUCGUCGCGCGGUUGGCAUAAAUGCCAAGUCCUCGGCGACGCACGCCACGACAAUCGGUGGUUGCGAAACCUCGGUUGCCCGUCGUGUGCGGUCGUCGCGCAUCGAGGGCUCGAAAAAAUUGCCGGGCUCCGGCUCGGCUUUCAACGCGACCCCAGGUCAGGCGGGGUUACCCGCUGAAUUUAAGCAUAUCAAUAAGCGGAGGA